GACGAACGCUGGCGGCGUGCUUAACACAUGCAAGUCGAACGGAAAGGCCCUGCUUUUGUGGGGUGCUCGAGUGGCGAACGGGUGAGUAACACGUGAGUAACCUGCCCUUGACUUUGGGAUAACUUCAGGAAACUGGGGCUAAUACCGGAUAGGAGCUCCUGCUGCAUGGUGGGGGUUGGAAAGUUUCGGCGGUUGGGGAUGGACUCGCGGCUUAUCAGCUUGUUGGUGGGGUAGUGGCUUACCAAGGCUUUGACGGGUAGCCGGCCUGAGAGGGUGACCGGCCACAUUGGGACUGAGAUACGGCCCAGACUCCUACGGGAGGCAGCAGUGGGGAAUAUUGCACAAUGGGCGGAAGCCUGAUGCAGCAACGCCGCGUGCGGGAUGACGGCCUUCGGGUUGUGAACCGCCUUCGCCUGUGACGAAGCGUGAGUGACGGUAAUGGGUAAAGAAGCACCGGCUAACUACGUG
rnacentral:rRNA from 1 species